rnacentral:rRNA from 1 species
ACGUAGGAGGCGAACGUUAUCCGGAUUUACUGGGCGUAAAGCGCGUGUAGGUGGUUCUGUAAGUAGUGCGUGAAAGCUCCUGGCUCAACUGGGAGAGGCCGUUCUAAACUACAGAACUAGAGGAUGGUAGAGGGAGGUGGAAUUCCAGGUGUAGCGGUGGAAUGCGCAGAUAUCUGGAGGAACACCAGGGGCGAAGGCGGCAUACUGGACCAUUACUGACACUCAGCCGCGAAAGCUAGGGUAGCAAACGG